rnacentral:sRNA from 1 species
UGGUGGUUCGAAAGUCAUCGAUGGUGGGAUACAGAAAAAGCAAGGGAGGACGAAGGGUGGCUUGAGGGUUCUUGGAUAAUACGCCCGUACUUACUUGUUUUCUGUGUUUCUUCCUUGUGCUGUGUUUUGUCGUUGAUAUUUUGGCGAGUCAAUUCAAGUUUUGGAUGGUUUAUGUAUUCAUCUAUUCCCCUUUCCCUCGCUCGUGGUUUCCUUUCUUUUAUUCGUGGGUAUAAGCUCUCUAGAAUACUCGAUACAAAGCGCAUGGAAUUUUGUGUGCUGUUUAACUAAUAAAUUGUCUUCGAGACCUUUCCCCCCUUCCUUCAUGUUACCCGUAAACGUUUCGGAGAUAAGCAGUUUUACAAACAUGGCGGCCGUCCAUACCAAGCUCAGAGAAGGGCGGAGCCUACCUGCAUUCUCGCGGGAAAUCUCAA